rnacentral:rRNA from 1 species
GCGAAAUGCGAUACCUAGUGUGAAUUGCAGAAUUCCGCGAAUCAUCGAGUUUUUGAACGCAAGUUGCGCCCGAGGCUCGUACCGAGGGCAUGUCUGUUUGAGCGUCCA